rnacentral:rRNA from 1 species
UUGCCUCAGUAACGGCGAGUGAAGCGGCAACAGCUCAAAUUUGAAAUCUGGCUCUUUCAGGGUCCGAGUUGUAAUUUGUAGAAGAUGCUUCGGGUGUGGCCCCGGUCUAAGUUCCUUGGAACAGGACGUCAUAGAGGGUGAGAAUCCCGUAUGUGACUGGGUGCCUAUGCUCAUGUGAAGCUCUUUCGACGAGUCGAGUUGUUUGGGAAUGCAGCUCUAAAUGGGUGGUAAAUUUCAUCUAAAGCUAAAUAUUGGCCAGAGACCGAUAGCGCACAAGUAGAGUGAUCGAAAGAUGAAAAGCACUUUGGAAAGAGAGUUAAACAGUACGUGAAAUUGUUGAAAGGGAAGCGCUUGCAACCAGACUUGCACGCUGUCGAUCAUCCGAGAUUUUUCCCGGUGCACUCGACUGCGUUCAGGCCAGCAUCGGUUUCGGUGGUUGGAUAAAGGCCUUGGGAAUGUGGCUCCUCUCGGGGAGUGUUAUAGCCCUCGGUGCAAUGCAGCCUACCGGGACCGAGGACCGCGCUUCGGCUAGGAUGCUGGCGUAAUGGUUGUAAGCGACCCGUCUUGAAACACGGACCAAGGAGUCUAACAUCUAUGCGAGUGUUUGGGUGUCAAACCCAUACGCGUAAUGAAAGUGAACGGAGGUGAGAACCCUUAAGGGUGCAUCAUCGACCGAUCCUGAUGUCUUCGGAUGGAUUUGAGUAAGAGCAUAGCUGUUGGGACCCGAAAGAUGGUGAACUAUGCCUGAAUAGGGUGAAGCCAGAGGAAACUCUGGUGGAGGCUCGCAGCGGUUCUGACGUGCAAAUCGAUCGUCAAAUUUGGGUAUAGGGGGCGAAAGACUAAUCGAACCAUCUAGUAGCUGGUUCCUGCGA